GGCAGUUUAGCUUAAUGGUAAAGCACUAAGACCGGUAAUCAGAGGGAUGUGAGUUCGAGUCUCAUGGCUGGUC
rnacentral:tRNA from 1 species